GCCAGGCAUGGUGGCGCACGCCUGUAAUCCCAGCUGCUUGGGAGGCAGAGGCAGGAGGAUAGUGAGUUCAAAGUCAGCCCCAGCAAUUU
rnacentral:sRNA from 1 species